rnacentral:rRNA from 1 species
UACCAUGCAGUCGACGGUGAAGCCCUUCGGGGUGGAUCAGUGGCGAACGGGUGAGUAACACGUGGGCAAUCUGCCCUGCACUCUGGGACAAGCCCUGGAAACGGGGUCUAAUACCGGAUAUGACCUUCCUCCGCAUGGGGGUUGGUGUAAAGCUCCGGCGGUGCAGGAUGAGCCCGCGGCCUAUCAGCUUGUUGGUGGGGUAAUGGCCUACCAAGGCGACGACGGGUAGCCGGCCUGAGAGGGCGACCGGCCACACUGGGACUGAGACACGGCCCAGACUCCUACGGGAGGCAGCAGUGGGGAAUAUUGCACAAUGGGCGAAAGCCUGAUGCAGCGACGCCGCGUGAGGGAUGACGGCCUUCGGGUUGUAAACCUCUUUCAGCAGGGAAGAAGCGCAAGUGACGGUACCUGCAGAAGAAGCACCGGCUAACUACGUGCCAGCAGCCGCGGUAAUACGUAGGGUGCGAGCGUUGUCCGGAAUUAUUGGGCGUAAAGAGCUCGUAGGCGGCCUGUCGCGUCGGAUGUGAAAGCCCGGGGCUUAACCCCGGGUCUGCAUUCGAUACGGGCAGGCUAGAGUGUGGUAGGGGAGAUCGGAAUUCCUGGUGUAGCGGUGAAAUGCGCAGAUUCAGGAGGAACACCGGUGGCGAAGGCGGAUCUCUGGGCCAUUACUGACGCUGAGGAGCGAAAGCGUGGGGAGCGAACAGGAUUAGAUACCCUGGUAGUCCACGCCGUAAACGUUGGGAACUAGGUGUUGGCGACAUUCCACGUCGUCGGUGCCGCAGCUAACGCAUUAAGUUCCCCGCCUGGGGAGUACGGCCGCAAGGCUAAAACUCAAAGGAAUUACGGGGGCCCGCACAAGCAGCGGAGCAUGUGGCUUAAUUCGACGCAACGCGAAGAACCUUACCAAGGCUUGACAUAUGCCGGAAACGGCCAGAGAUGGUCGCCCCCUUGUGGUCGGUAUACAGGUGGUGCAUGGUUGUCGUCAGCUCGUGUCGUGAGAUGUUGGGUUAAGUCCCGCAACGAGCGCAACCCUUGUUCUGUGUUGCCAGCAUGCCUUUCGGGGUG